AUAACAGAGCUAUCCAUACAGGCAGUGUCAGUAUUUUUAUGCCGAUUGUAAAAAUACUCUGAACAAUUUACUCUGAAAAAGCCAGCAGCUCCCUCAAACACAGGGUUGCUGGGGCCAACAUAUUCCUCUUCCAGACAACUGAAUAUUGAAAAGAAUGCAAAACAAGCUGAAAAAGUGGAACCUGUUGCUCAUCCUUUGGUGGCUGUCAGCACUGGAAAGGAUGGAUGAAGAAGUCAAACAUGGCCAUCUUCAGCCAGUCACUUGUGUGCCGAGCUUAGAGAAGUUUCAGUGUAAUAUAACACAAAUAUUCAGUUUCCCUGUGGACUCCUGGCAGCGGUGGAGGAGGCUGCAGAGGAAGGGGUAUGUUUGCUGUAGGCCUUUUGCAGCUGGAAGAACUGGAUUUGAAAUAAAGGAAAGAAAAUUUAUCUUUACAUCUUCAGAAG